UACAGGAGGGGGCAAGCGUUGUUCGGAAUUACUGGGCGUAAAAGGGCGCGUAGGCGGCCUUCUAAGUCGAACGUGAAAUCCUGGAGCUCAACUCCAGAACUGCCUUUGAUACUGGGGAUCUCGAGUCCGGAAGAGGUGAGUGGAACUCCGAGUGUAGAGGUGAAAUUCGUAGAUAUUCGGAAGAACACCAGUGGCGAAGGCGGCUCACUGGUCCGGUACUGACGCUGAGGUGCGAAAGCGUAGGGAGCAAACAGG
rnacentral:rRNA from 1 species